rnacentral:rRNA from 1 species
GACCGUGCAAAGGUAGCAUAAUCAUUAGUUUUUUAAUUGAAGGCUAGAAUGAAUGGUUGGACAAGAAAUAAUCUGUCUUAAUUAAAUAUAUUGAAUUUAACUUUUAAGUGAAAAGGCUUAAAUAAUCUGAAGGGACGAUAAGACCCUAUAAAACUUUAUAUUUUAAAAUUGUAGUUAAUUUUAUUCAAAUAUAUUAUUUAAAAAUAUUUUGUUGGGGUGACAAGGAUAAAAUUAAAAGUAACUGUCCUUUUUUAUUACAGUAAUGUUUGGUUUAAUGAUCCUUAAAUGGAUUAAAGAUUAAGUUACUUUAGGGAUAACAGCGUAAUUUUCUUUAAGAGUUCUUAUCGACAGGAAAGUUUGCGACCUCGAUGUUGAAUUAAAAGUUCUUUAUAGAGUAGAGACUAUAAAAGAAGGUCUGUUCGACCUUUAAAUUUUUACAUGAUUUGAGUUCAAACCGGUGUAAGCCAGGUUGGUUUCUAUCU